rnacentral:rRNA from 1 species
GAUGAACGCUGGCGGCGUGCUUAACACAUGCAAGUCGAACGAUGAAGCCCAGCCUGCUGGGCGGAUUAGUGGCGAACGGGUGAGUAACACGUGAGUAACCUGCCCUUGACUCUGGGAUAAGCCCGGGAAACUGGGUCUAAUACCGGAUAGGAGCGCCUGUCGCAUGACGGGUGCUGGAAAGAUUUUUCGGUCAUGGAUGGACUCGCGGCCUAUCAGCUUGUUGGUGAGGUAACGGCUCACCAAGGCGACGACGGGUAGCCGGCCUGAGAGGGUGACCGGCCACACUGGGACUGAGACACGGCCCAGACUCCUACGGGAGGCAGCAGUGGGGAAUAUUGCACAAUGGGCGGAAGCCUGAUGCAGCGACGCCGCGUGAGGGAUGACGGCCUUCGGGUUGUAAACCUUCUUUCAGUAGGGAAG